rnacentral:siRNA from 1 species
UUGGGCAUUCAGGAUCUUCA